AGGCCUAACACAUGCAAGUCGAGCGGAUGAGGGGUGCUUGCACCCCGAUUCAGCGGCGGACGGGUGAGUAAUGCCUAGGAAUUUGCCCGAUAGUGGGGGACAACGUUUCGAAAGGAACGCUAAUACCGCAUACGUCCUACGGGAGAAAGUGGGGGCUUUUCGGACCUCACGCUAUCGGAUGAGCCUAGGUCGGAUUAGCUAGUUGGUGGGGUAAAGGCCCACCAAGGCGACGAUCCGUAACUGGUCUGAGAGGAUGAUCAGUCACACUGGAACUGAGACACGGUCCAGACUCCUACGGGAGGCAGCAGUGGGGAAUAUUGGACAAUGGGCGAAAGCCUGAUCCAGCCAUGCCGCGUGUGUGAAGAAGGUCUUCGGAUUGUAAAGCACUUUAAGUUGGGAGGAAGGGCUGUAAGUUAAUACCUUGCAGUUUGACGUACCGACAGAUAGCUUGC
rnacentral:rRNA from 1 species